rnacentral:rRNA from 1 species
AUUGAACGCUGGCGGCAGGCCUAAUACAUGCAAGUCGAACGAGUGGCGGACGGGUGAGUAACGCUUGGGAACCUGGCUUAUGGAGGGGGAUAACGACGGGAACCUGUCGCUAAUACCGCGUACCAUAGGCUGAGCCCAGGUGGGAUUCGGUAGUUGGUGGGGUAUCGGCUUACGAAGUCGACGAUGCCUAGCUGGUCUGAGAGGAUGACCGGCCACACCGGAACUGGGACACGGCCCGGACUCCUACGGGAGGCAGCAGUGGGGAAUAUUGCGCAAUGGGGGCAACCUGACGCAGCCAUGCCGCGGGAAUGAAGAAGGUCUUCGGGUUGUAAAGUUCUUUCGGUGACGAGGCGUUAAUCACAGAGAAAGCACCGGCUAACUCCGUGCCAGCAGCCGCGGUAAUAC